UACGUAGGGUGCAAGCGUUAAUCGGAAUUACUGGGCGUAAAGCGUGCGCAGGCGGUGAUGUAAGACAGAUGUGAAAUCCCCGGGCUCAACCUGGGAACUGCAUUUGUGACUGCAUCGCUGGAGUACGGCAGAGGGGGAUGGAAUUCCGCGUGUAGCAGUGAAAUGCGUAGAUAUGCGGAGGAACACCGAUGGCGAAGGCAAUCCCCUGGGCCUGUACUGACGCUCAUGAACGAAAGCGUGGGGAGCAAACAGG
rnacentral:rRNA from 1 species